rnacentral:rRNA from 1 species
GAUACAGGCUAGCGGCGGACGGGUGAGUAACACGUGGGUAACCUGCCCAAGAGAUCGGGAUAACACCUGGAAACAGAUGCUAAUACCGGAUAACAACAGAUGAUGCCUAUCAACUGUUUAAAAGAUGGUUCUGCUAUCACUCUUGGAUGGACCUGCGGUGCAUUAGCUAGUUGGUAGGGUAACGGCCUACCAAGGCGAUGAUGCAUAGCCGAGUUGAGAGACUGAUCGGCCACAUUGGGACUGAGACACGGCCCAAACUCCUACGGGAGGCAGCAGUAGGGAAUCUUCCACAAUGGACGCAAGUCUGAUGGAGCAACGCCGCGUGAGUGAAGAAGGGUUUCGGCUCGUAAAGCUCUG